rnacentral:tRNA from 1 species
GCGAGAGUGGCGGAAUUGGCAGACGCGCUAGAUUUAGGAUCUAGUGUCUUAGGACGUGGGGGUUCAAGUCCCCCCUCUCGCACCA